rnacentral:rRNA from 1 species
UCUCAGUUCGGAUUGUAGUCUGCAACUCGACUACAUGAAGCUGGAAUCGCUAGUAAUCGCAGAUCAGAAUGCUGCGGUGAAUACGUUCCCGGGUCUUGUACACACCGCCCGUCACACCAUGGGAGUCGGAAAUGCCCGAAGCCGGUGACCCAACCAAAAGGAGGGAGCCGUCGAAGGCAGGUCUGAUAACUGGGGUGAAGUCGUAACAAGGUAAC